UUCAGACACUGACUGAGGAAUUCUUUGAAGUUCUGAUUAGUCUUUGCUACUUGCUCCUGAAUAUGGAUCACAACUGGUUGAGGAGCAAGAGUUAUAUCUUUUUGGGCUAUUUGCUUUGCUUUGUCCAUGAGCCACUGGAGUUCAUGCUGGUGAGAAUUCAGGUCUUCAUCCAACUGGUUAAAGAUCCUCAAUCUGUUUUGAACUGCCUCCAGUUCUAAGUACAGAUGGUCCACCACAGCCCUACAGGAGGUCCUCUGCUCAGAAAUCCCAUGUUUUAAGUGAUACUGGGCCUUGAGCUCUGACUUGGAGGUUCAACAGCAUCCUGGCACCGAGGAACAAAACGUUACACCUACCCAUAUGACUCAUUUGGAAUAUGACCCACAAACAUUUCUGGAGAAGCAGACAACUACGCUUGUGAAGGGGGAAUAGUCUGUUAGGAGGAAGAUAUAUGUACAAAAUAUAUGUACAGUGGCUGACUCAACCAAACUUGAGGAAAGCAGUUAUGCUUGCUUUCUCUCAUAAAUAUUAAACAUUAGUGGAAGAUCAUUAUAUGUAGUUACAGUGCAUUAGAGAUCCAGGGCUAAAUCAUCUUCUCAUGCCUGUACGUGUUAAUUUGAAUGCAGGAGUCUUGAGAGCUACAUACAUAUUCAUCUGAAAAGGGAAUUUCUCUCUCACGGAGUUACAGUAUCAAGACAAACGUAUAAAUUUAGCAUAUACCUCUUUUAAAAAUGAGAAGAUUUCCUGGAGAACUUGUCAGCAAAAUACGGUGUUUUAAUUCUCUUGAAUGUGGAAAAUACUUUGAAACCAAACAGUUCAGGGCAAUCCCCAGGACAAGAGACAUGAACAUUCUGGAGAGCAUCCAACAAAGGGCCACAGUUAUCAAGGGAAAAGAGCAUCUCUCCUAUGAGGAGAGGGUGAGAGAGUUGGGACUGAUCAGCCUGGAGAAGAGGAGGCUAAGGGAGCAGAAUUGCUUAAUAAAGGAAUUUCUCUAGAGAAAUGACCAUCUGGGAAGCAGAUCAAUAUCCCUCUUUGAUAAAUAAUAGGAUAUGUUAGAACAAAUUUUUUCUUGAGCAGGCAUACUAUAUUUGCAAAUAACAUUCUUCCUGUCAUUUUCUUGUCUUUGUGGUGCAAUAUUUCCCUAACACAUUUUUAAAGCCCAGAAUCAAGUGACU